CACUCUCGACCACCUGCUCCCAAAGAUACUCCUAAGCCUCUCCUGACUUGGCCCUAUCUUUGCACAACCAUCAGAUCACUUCUGGACACUCUCAGACCCUCCUGAAGCCUUAGUAGACAAUCCCUGAAGGACUUGCCCUAUCUUUGCACAAGCACCAACUCAACUCAUCACCUUUGCUUCUCCACUUCUUCUCUUCAAGU
rnacentral:lncRNA from 1 species